rnacentral:tRNA from 1 species
GCCGAAAUAGCUCUGUUGGAAGAGCGUUAGACUGAUGAUCUAAAAGGUCCCUGGUUCAUUCCCGGGUUUCGGCA